AGGUAACACACCACCCCUCCAGGUAACACACCACCCCUCCAGGUAACACACACCACCCCUCCAGGUAACACACCACCCCUCCAGGUAACACACCACCCCUCCAGGUAACACACCACCCCUCCAGGUAACACACCACCCCUCCAGGUAACACACACACCACCCCUCCAGGUAACACACACACCACCCCUCCAGGUAACACACACACCACCCCUCCAGGUAACACACACACCACCCCUCCAGUUAACACACACCACCCCUCCAGGUAACACACCACCCCUCCAGGUAACACACCACCCCUCCAGGUAACACACCACCCCUCCAGGUAACACACACACCACCCCUCCAGGUAACACACACC